rnacentral:rRNA from 1 species
GGUUAUACUUCAAGGGUGAGUAAAAAAGUUUUGGGUUAGUUAAAUGUAAUCGUUAUAUUCUAUAAAUAUUAAAAGGUAAAAUUGAUUUAAUAUUUUGUAGUAAAAGUUAGAUAAAAAUUGAAGCUAAUAAAUUUAGGUUAAAAAUUAGGAUUAGAUACCCUAUUAUUCCUAAAUAAAUUUGUCCCGGGGUUAGUAAUAGGUAUUUACUUAAAAGCUAAAAAAUUUGGCGGUAAUUUAAUCUUUUCAGAGGAACUUGUUUUUUAAUCGAUAAACCGCGAAUUAUCUUGCUUACCUUAGUAAAGAAGUUUGUAUACCGUCAUUAUCAGGUAAUUUUUAAAAAAUAAAUUUCUUAGACUAAAAGAUUAUUAAAAUUASAUCAUGGUGCAGCUUAUGGGUAAGUUAAAAUGAGUUACAAUAAAUUAUUUUAUACGGAUGAUUCAGAAGAAAAUUUAAUCUGAAGGAGGAUUUGGUAGUACUUGAGGUUUAAUAUGCUUUAAGGAUGUAAG